UACGAAGGGUGCAAGCGUUAAUCGGAAUUACUGGGCGUAAAGCGUGCGCAGGCGGCUUUGCAAGACAGAUGUGAAAUCCCCGGGCUCAACCUGGGAACUGCAUUUGUGACUGUAUAGCUAGAGUACGGCAGAGGGGGAUGGAAUUCCGCGUGUAGCAGUGAAAUGCGUAGAUAUGCGGAGGAACACCGAUGGCGAAGGCAAUCCCCUGGGCCUGUACUGACGCUCAUGCACGAAAGCGUGGGGAGCAAACAGG
rnacentral:rRNA from 1 species